UACGGGGGGAGCAAGCGUUGUUCGGAUUUACUGGGCGUAAAGGGCGCGUAGGCGGCCACCGCAAGUCAAUUGUGAAAUCUCCGGGCUUAACUCGGAAAGGUCAACUGAUACUGCGGGGCUAGAGUGCGGAAGGGGCAACUGGAAUUCUCGGUGUAGCGGUGAAAUGCGUAGAUAUCGAGAGGAACACCUGCGGCGAAGGCGGGUUGCUGGGCUGACACUGACGCUGACAGCGCGAAAGCUAGGGGAGCGAACGGG
rnacentral:rRNA from 1 species